GCGGGAAAUGGAACAAAAAGCUGCUGAAUUGGCCUAUUUCUUGCGUGUACCAAUUGAAGUAUUUUAAGAAAUGAGUCGAUAAAUGAAUGCUUUCAGUUCGGAUUGCAAGCUGCAACUCGCCUGCAUGAAGCUGGAAUCGCUAGUAAUCGCCGGUUAGCCAUACGACGGUGAAUCC
rnacentral:ncRNA from 1 species